CUUUCCACAUGGAGAACUUUCUUUAAGCUUUUACCAGUGAUCACAAAUCCUAUGAACCUAUUGUUGUCGUAGCCCUUGCUGUCUGCCUUUGCCCUCUGCUCUCAUUUCUCUUGAAUGGAGCUGGGCCCAGUGUGGCAGUCCACCUGCCCUUUAGGUGCUCGUCCUGUCACAAUCAUGGGGACUGUGGGGUUAUUCUCCUUACCACCCUCCUCCAACACCCACCUCCGCCAGGCAUUGAUCUGUCCCUGCGGCCCACCUGCAGCGGGACUCCUGGCCAGGUCUCUUCUACGGCAGCGCGUAUCUCAGUACGAAUUUGGCUUCACACCAACUCUCACCUGCCUCCCCAACAGCGAUGAUUUACUCCACCCGGCGCCGCAGCGUCUUCCAUGUUACAUGAUGGGUAGAUGGACUCCCCUGUGACCUUCAGGGCUUUCAGCGCCUGGUCAGCAUUUCCCCUACCCCUUUUACCUCCUAGUGCAUUGGCCAAAUUGCAUCGAGGGUCUGGAAGCUGAGCCUACUGCUGCUACCACCUUUCCCUGCCCACGGCUGUCUUCUUGCAUUUCACUGAAGUUCGACCUCACUUGCCUGUUUCAGAGAAGGGUGUAGGACGGGAACCACACGAGGGCCAGCAAAGCAGAGUCAAGUAUUCCUGGUAGUGGCAAGCGUCGCUCAGCAGACAGCGCAGAGGCAGAGAGAUAUCUGCACCGAGAAGGCUGUGUAAAUCGGUCUGGUUUAAAAGCUUCAUGGCCCCUGGCAGACAGUAGCUUCCGGAACAGCUGUGCGAGACAUCACUUCCGGUUCCGCACAAGGGACUAAUCAGUUAGAAGCUAUGGGGACUCCCAGCCCAGAGAUUUGUAUGCCAUGUUGGUCUAAGCUUUGUAGCAGCCAGAAAUUGAAAUAACCUCAAAGUCCAGCAAUGCGUGAAUGGAUAAGCAAUGGUGCAUCAUUUCACAGAAUACUGCUCAGUAAUAAGAAGGAAUACAUGAGCUACUCAUACACGUCUCAACUGCAGAGGAGAUUAAAUGACACACUACUAGUAGCAGGCAUAGCGCCCUGUGCACAGCAGAGGCGUCGCCCUACAGAAUAAGGAGGUGAAGGGAGACCCGGAGGUCUGCUGGCAUCCGACGAAGGCACACAGAGGCACAGGACAGUCCUGAGGGGCCGUAAGGCUGGGAAAUUCAGAGGAAUGAACAGUUUGGGCUGCUGUCACAGAAUACUAUGGCAUAAGGGGCUUAAACAAUGAGGAUUUGUUUCACCCAGUCCUGGAGGCUGCAAAGUGCAAGAUCAAGGUAACAGCCAAUCUGGCUUGUGGUGAAGAUUCCUUUUCUCUCAGGUGAAUUUGCUCUGGAGGAAGUCAGCUGGACUAUCACAAGGAGAACCAGGAAGCCUCUGCAGAAAUCUGGGGAGUGAGGAACUGAUGAGGCCUCAGACAAAUACCCACAUCAGCAAUCCUGAAAACAGAUCCACAGCUCCAGCCGUGAAGCUACAGAUAACCAUAGCACCAGAUAACUAAAUAAAAGCUGAUACCUUUUGUUACUGUUAGGGGUGAGCGUGUAUAUGUGUGCACAUGUUGUUUGAGGGGUAUUGUUUGAAAUUAAGCUCAUUGUACUCUUAGAGGCAAUUUAAACUUUGAAGGUUAUGGAUUUGAUGCAUAUAAAAAGUAUGUAGGAGGGCAAGGGAAUGGGGAAAAAAUAAGAACCAAGAUACAUCAUGUAA